rnacentral:sRNA from 1 species
AUGCGUGCCAUGCCGUACGUUACUUGACUGAAACAUAUAAAAGCAUGCCUGAUUUCUAAAGCCCAUCGAUGAUAGCAGAUUGAUGAUCCGGACUGCAAUAUACAAAUUAAUCAUGAUUGGCUUCCAAGUGAACUAAGUGUGUGUUCGUUUGAAUCACUACUAAAAAACCAACCGGCUUAUAGAUGCCGAUUCAUUUAAAACUGAUACUUAUAAGUCUUUUCCCACCUCCGAUAUCUUUAAUUAAGAAAUAUAGGUGCCGGUUUAUUAGUUAAAACUGAUACGGUUAGUUAAAAAACUAACACCUAUAAUAUAAUAACCUAUAAUAUAUUAUAGGUAUCAGUUCUGUAAAAAAACCAGCACCUAUUCUAAAUCAAGCCGAUCUAGGCGAGACGAGCCGAUCGACCUGGCCUAUCUACGCGCGUUGCUCGAUCCUUAUCCUUAUCCCCUCCCCCCCCCCCGGGCUCUUCUGUGCGCUCUCCCCCUCGCCCCUUCCUCCGCCACGCCCUCCCCUCCCCCUCCCCUUUGGCCCCCCUCCCCCCUCUCCUCCUCCUCCGAUCCGCCAUACUCCCCUCCCGCCCCCUCCUAACUGGCGAGCAGUGUCGCCUGCGAUGGGCGGCCUCCCCACCGGCGGCGACCUCAGCGUGGGGAGGGAUGUAUGGGUGCGGCGACCUCGGCAUGGACAGGGACCUAGCGGCUGGCGACGAUCUCGUGCGGAGAGGGACCCGGUGGCUAGCGGCCACCUCAUGUGGAGAGGGACCUCGGCGGCGACCUCGUGCGGAGAGGGACCUCGGCGGUGACCUCACAUGGAGAGGGACCCCGGCGGUGACCUUGGUGGAUUGACGAGUGAGUUUGUGCAUCUUGCUUGUGUUCUUCAUCUGUGAUGGGAACUAUUGUUGUUUGUUGUUGAUGAUUUGUGAUGGAGAUUGUUGAUGUUCAUAUCUGUGAUUGGUGAUGGAUUGAAUUAGGGAUUGCUUGAAUGGAGAUUAUUAUUGUUCAUCUGCUUGAUUUGUGAUAUGUGAAAGCAUGCUUGAAUGGGGAUUAUUGAUGCGCAUCGGCUCGGCUUGGAGCCAGCUUCUUUUUUUUUUUUAAUCCGGAAGAGCACAAAGGUGACGGUUCUAUGACUGGCACCAAUAACACUAGGUCAUUGGUGCUGACCAAUUGGUGUCGGCUAGGAAACCGGCACCUAUUACCCGUUCCCAACCGGCACCUAUAGGGGAAUAUGUGCUUCGAUGCAAAGCACUACACACGAGUACACGGUACAUGGCUAUGUUCUUUCCCGAUCUUUCCUAACUCACCUUCUUCGUUUUUUGCGCGCAUGCUUCCCAAAGUACUAAACGGUGCGUAUUUUGAAAAAAAAUUCUAUAGAAAAGUUAUUUUAAAAAUUAAAUUAAUCUAUUUUUAAAAUUUAUUUCAGCUAAUAUUUAAUAAAUCAUGCACUAACCGCCACUCUGUUUUGCGUGUUGGGAGCUAGGGUUGUCAACCCUCACUCACUUCCGAACUCAGCCAUACAGGGCAGUUGCUCUGCUCAGAACAGAACAGCAUGUCCAGCAACCAGGCUUCUUCAUCAAAGAAUCAACCAGGCAAGGCACCUGCAAAAUCUGCAAUCACUUUCAGCUUUUUACAGAGCUGCUGCUGUUGAAACUUCGUUCUUGUUAGUUAACUUCUCUGAAAAUCCUGAAACUUGGUACUCACAUAGACUUAAAUCUGAAUCUGUGUACGUUUACGCGGUACAUGACGGGAUGCGUUUUAAGCAUUCUCAUAAUUAUAAAUUUAUAACAUGCAGAGAGGCCUAUUAUGUUUUAUUAUACAUGUAAAUUGGUUUUUGAUGAUGAAAGUGAAGUGAACUGAACCGGUGUCAGGAUACGCGUUGACGUUGUACUACUCGUACGUUCGUAGCGUGUGGCUGCAUAUGCAAUUGCAUUUAUAGUAUGCUAUAUUACACGUUGACACGCCUAUACCCACGCGGACUUGUAUUCCGUCAACGGGACAUUCUCUCGAUCGAUAAAGCUCCACAUUAAACUCUAUCCAUUUUUUAAUAUAUGAUGCCGUUAAUUUUUUUUGAUACGUUUGAUUAUUCGUUUUAUUUAAAAGAAUUAUCUAAUUAUUAUUUAUUUUAUUGCGAUUUGAUUCAUCGUCAAAUAUUCAUUAAACAUGACUUAAUAUUUUUAUAUCUGUAAAAAAGUUUUGAAUAUGACAAAUAGUCAAACAUUUGUCGAAAAAUCAACGACACUGUAUAUUAAAAAAUAGAGGUAAUAUGAUGUCAGUUGCCAAAGAUCGAUGUUCUAAUUGUUGUCUUUAGUAUUAUCCAUAAAAGGUAGCUGUCUCAAGUGUUGAACAUACUCAUUUACUUAGUCCUACAUAAAUCGUGCACAUGUUGACUUCGUAAAAUAAUACACACGGCUGUGUUAGAUAGUGCAGAAAUGCUGAGCUAGUUAGUUGCACGGGAACCAAAACAGAUUGUUAACGUAUGAUUAAUUAAGCAUGAACUUAAAAGAAAUAAAUACUAACUAUUAUUUACUUGCAAAAUAAAUAAAUUUAUUUUUGAAACAGCUUCUAUAUAAAAAGUUUUUCACAAAACACACCAUUUAAUAGAUCGGCCGGGAAACAUGCUUAUGAUAAAUGAGGAAGUAGCCCACUCAAUAAACGGUUAAAAACACAAUCUAAUUAAGCAAGAACAGUAUGAAUGUUAUUUUUUCUUUUUUUCUUCCUUCAUUAGUAUAACAUAUUUUGAAACAGAAACUGUAUGCUUUAAUUUCACAAUAUUAAUUAGCCCAAGCCUAUGGAUUGCUCAAAAUCAAGGGGUACACCAAACAGAUAAAGACAAUAAGAAAGACUAAACAUAUCUUGACACGAUUUCUACGUAUAUGUAAGCAUGCUUUGCUUUCGUC